rnacentral:sRNA from 1 species
GCCGCGGCCAUCGGGGAGUAGUCACCGCUGGUCAGCGGGGCCGCGUCAACAUGCUUGCGCAAUGGCGCAUGGCGCGGCCAGCCGGUUCGUCGGCC